AUUGAACGCUGGCGGCAUGCUUUACACAUGCAAGUCGAACGGUAACAGGCCUUCGGGUGCUGACGAGUGGCGAACGGGUGAGUAAUGCAUCGGAACAUACCCAGUCGUGGGGGAUAACGUAGCGAAAGUUACGCUAAUACCGCAUACGUCCUGAGGGAGAAAGCGGGGGAUCGUAAGACCUCGCGCGAUUGGAGUGGCCGAUGUCAGAUUAGCUAGUUGGUGGGGUAAACGGCCCACCAAGGCGACGAUCUGUAGCGGGUCUGAGAGGAUGAUCCGCCACACUGGGACUGAGACACGGCCCAGACUCCUACGGGAGGCUG
rnacentral:rRNA from 1 species